UACGUAGGGUGCAAGCGUUGUCCGGAAUUAUUGGGCGUAAAGAGCUCGUAGGCGGUCUGUUGCGUCGGCUGUGAAAACCCGGGGCUCAACUCCGGGCCUGCAGCCGAUACGGGCAGACUAGAGUUCGGCAGGGGAGACUGGAAUUCCUGGUGUAGCGGUGAAAUGCGCAGAUAUCAGGAGGAACACCGGUGGCGAAGGCGGGUCUCUGGGGCAACAACUGACGCUGAGGAGCGAAAGCGUGGGGAGCGAACAGG
rnacentral:rRNA from 1 species